CGAGAAAGCCCGCAAGGGUGAGUAAAGCGGCGCACGGGUGCGUAACACGUGGGUAAUCUGCCCUAGAGUCUGGAAUAACUCGCCGAAAGGCGUGCUAAUGCCGGAUGAGACCACGGGAGCCUCGGCUCCUGCGGGAAAAGGUGGCCUCUGUAUACAAGCUAUCGCUCUGGGAUGAGCCCGCGGCCCAUCAGCUAGUUGGCGGGGUAAUGGCCCACCAAGGCUACGACGGGUAGCUGGUCUGAGAGGACGAUCAGCCACACUGGAACUGAGACACGGUCCAGACUCCUACGGGAGGCAGCAGUGGGGAAUCUUGCGCAAUGGGCGAAAGCCUGACGCAGCAACGCCGCGUGUGUGAUGAAGGUCUUCGGAUCGUAAAGCACUGUCGCGAGGGACG
rnacentral:rRNA from 1 species